GCAGAGAAGAGCUCCUGGAGCAGCAUGAGUGCAUUUACUGAAAAGCUUUUCCGAGAAACGGCACAAGAAUGGAUUUGCUUAUGUGCUGCGACCACACAGAACUGUAUAUAGGCUGACGUCACCGGAUGACGUGUCUUUUGUUUGGGUUUUCCAGAAGCUUUACUGUUAUAAAGCACCAUGCUUUGUAACAGCAUCGGGGUCGUUGCAGGACCCCCUGAUUACAAUAAAGCGAGAAAGAAGAACUCCUGACUUAAAAACAUGAUAUUCCUUCAGUGUAGGAAGCAGCAGUGAGGUUGUAAUAAAGGCUGCAUUCAAGAAGACCCAUCUGAACAGUGAGUUGGGUUAGCAGAGUGAUGAUUUUUAAUGCUUGUGAGAGCCAGUGUUAGACUGCCGAUUCUGCAUAGAGAGAUCAUCUAAAUGGGCAGAAGCCUGCACAAUUUAUGAAGUGCUGAUUUAACACCAGCCUAUGCAAGCAUGUCAGCAUUCCGUCUGCAGUUGAGAUGUUGAUUCCUCCUUGUAUUGCACAUUGCUGAAAGGGGCUUCCUGAGGCUGGAGAGAGCAGUGAGGCUGGACGUAAAGAAAGAAGUGAUGCACUCAAUUCUGCAAUAGAUAAAAUGACCAAGAAGACCAGGGACUUGCGUAGACAGCUCCGCAAAGCUGUCAUGGACCACGUUUCAGAUUCUUUCCUGGAAACCAAUGUUCCACUUUUG
rnacentral:lncRNA from 1 species